GUGGUUUUGGGGUGACCUAAAUUGAUUUUUUUAUUGUUAGGAUAAAGACAUGGAUCCAAUAGUGAACAUGGAGUUAGUAGUUGAAAACGUCAAAGCCCUGAGAGGUAUAGCCAAAAUGAACCACCUUCGAGGGUAUUCCCGGUUGAGGAAAGAUCAGUUGGUUGAGAGGUGAUAGAAACGAAGACAAAUCUUAAAUUUCAUCGUCGUCCCAAACCCCACACGAGGAAGGAGAUUAUCACCCAG
rnacentral:lncRNA from 1 species